UACGUAGGGUGCAAGCGUUGUCCGGAAUUAUUGGGCGUAAAGAGCUCGUAGGCGGUUCGGUAAGUUGGGUGUGAAACCUCCAGGCUCAACCUGGAGACGCCACCCGAUACUGCUGUGACUAGAGUCCGGUAGGGGAGCGUGGAAUUCCUGGUGUAGCGGUGAAAUGCGCAGAUAUCAGGAGGAACACCGAUGGCGAAGGCAGGUCACUGGGCCGCAACUGACGCUGAGGAGCGAAAGCAUGGGGAGCGAACAGG
rnacentral:rRNA from 1 species